rnacentral:lncRNA from 1 species
UGUAAAUGGGCCUACAAGUCAUCAAAAAUUUAAAAACUUUUAACUUUAUUUCCAACUUACAGAAAUAAUGUUUUGUAUGUAAAAAAUUCAACCAGUGUUUAAGAUAGAAUGUACAGUUAUUCUGUAAUCCAAGGUAGACCAUGGUAGAUUAUGGCAUAGCUUUCUAUUAAAGUGGAUUAACAAAGUAGCUAUACUUUCUGUUUUAAUAGUGUUAAUCAUAAGGUAGAUUAUAGAAUAGAUGUACUUUCUGUUUUAAACAUUGGGUUAUUUUUUGCAGAAUAUGUAUUUUUUCUAUAAAUUCAUAUUAUUUCUAUAACCACUCAUAACAUUCUCUGUCUCACCAUACCAGGACUUUUUGUGUAUAUGUACAAACAUGUUGUUUUUCUCCAGAAUGAGGUCAUUCAUACUAUUCUGAAAUUCACUUUCUUCCUUUAAGAUUUAGUUUUAUCUUAGUUUUUAAAUGGCUCUUGAUAAAUCUCAGAGUGGAUAUAUCACAUUUCUCUGCCUGUGGACAUUCAGAUUAUCUCUGAUAGUGAAAAACAAUGUUACAGUGUCUAGUAGUGUAUAAUAUUGC